UCCCACUUCUAGUUUCAGUAGCACUAACUGCUUGAACUAAAUGUCCCCUUUGGUUCAUCAAUGAGCAUAAAAACAAGGAGUUUUAUUAUUCCUUUUUUCCUUUCUAAAUGUAAACUUAUAUGGGUUUAGCAUCCCCUCUUCCUCUUGAAUUUUCUAUUUUUCAAUUUCCAUUCAUUUUUCCCUACAAAAUCCCAUUCAUAAAUUCUAUUUGUCUGAA
rnacentral:lncRNA from 1 species